GCAGGGGUAGUAUAGUGGUAGUACGUCACGUUGUGGCCGUGUUGGCGGCGGUUCGAUUCCGCCCCUCUGCA